GGUGAGAUGGCCGAGCGGUCUAAGGCGCCAGACUAAGGUAUUCCAUCGAUAAGAUGGCUUCCCAUCUGGUCUCUUCGGGGGCGGGAGUUCGAAUCUCCCUCUCAUCA
rfam:Termitomyces sp. J132 unplaced genomic scaffold scaffold439, whole genome shotgun sequence.